rnacentral:lncRNA from 1 species
GUUCUAGCUCAGCGAGAGACCAAGUAAUCGGACUCCAUAGCUGGAUCAAAUGGUGGUUGGCAAAGUAUUGUGUGGUAACUAUAAGCAAGUGUUGAUGUUGCGUUCCAUGUUUCUUGCCGAGAUGAUCCUGGUACAGAGCCCAGGUGUAUAGAUAAUGAGAAAAAUAAUCACAAGAAGAAGUAGCAAAAUUCGGCACCCUCCAUGGUUGUUCAGUUUCGCCGAGAUCAAGUUGGUUGCCUAC